CAGGGACGCCGUCGGUGCGGAAGAUGCCCUUGCAGACACCGAUCCGGUCCUCACGGGUGGGAGCCCAGUAGAACUUCUCCAUACGGCCGUCACGGAUGAGCGGCGCGUACAGGGUGGAGAAGUCGUUGCCGGUGACGACGAUGGGGACACGGGGGUUCUCCUCCUUGUUGUACAUGCCGGGGAGCUGCACGUUGGUGGGGUUGUCGGCGAUGUUCAUCAGGGUGGCGUUCACCAUCUGGUUGUUGACGGUAUACUGGGUGGUCCCGCCCAUGCGACCGGCACCGGCGUCGAGAUCGUUGAUGAAGAGGCAGCACAUCUUGCCCUUCUUGAUGAUGUCGGCGGCCUCACGGUACCGCUGCCUGAUGAGCUUGGCGGGCUCUCCGGCGUUGCCGCUCUCCAGCUCUCCGGCGCUCAUCAUGAUGGGGCUGCGUGUGUGUGGGGAAGAUGGUCAUUUAUCUUAUCUGCUGUAUAUAUGAAAUCAAACCAAAAUUAAAGAUUGUUGCUUACGUGAUGCCCAUCUUGGCGAAGACAAGCUCACACUGGAAGGAUUUCCCUUGACCCUUGCCUCCCCAGAUACCCAGGAUGAGGGGCACCUUGAUGUUUGGCAGGGUCAUGAAGUUCUUGGAGAGGUGGACGACGAGCUUGUCCAUGAAGGCCGGGGCGAUGUAGAAGCCAUCCUUCAUGUUGUCCCACCCGGUGUAGUCCCUCAAGCCCUGGCUGAGGUACUCGUAGGAGCUGAGCACGGCCUCGUGGGUGCCGUCUCCCAUGGGUGCCUGGAAGAGGGAGUCGACGAAACCCUUGCCCCUGGUGAUGUCCUGCUGGUCGUCGGAGAUGUCGUUGACGAGGCCCCUCCACCUGUCUUUGUCGGUCUGCUUGGUCUCGUCGACAUCCUUGGCGGCCAUGACCUUGAACCUGUUGGCGCUGGAGCUCUUGACAUGGUAGUUCACGGCCGCGGUCGCUUGCGUCCUGAGCUUCUUCCCGAGGAAGCUGGCCGGGGUGGAGGCCUGUAUGUACGUUGUCAAGGAUGCACUUUAAUCGUCAGGCGGCUCUCGCAUAUACGAUCGAUGCAUGAGAUGAUGGAAGAGAACUCACCGGAGCUCCGACGGUGGAGGAGAAGGCGGCCGCCAUCUCUGCGCUGCUUCUUCUUCCUCCUUGGGCGACCUUGCUAGGAAGGGCACGAGUGAUCUAUCACUGAUGGCCGCCGCUGCUGCUCUUCUCAAAGUACUGAGGCCGAGCCUUGCAAGGCAUUAAAUAAAGGAGCACGUGUGGUGGCCGUGUGUCUGCCGCUGCGGCUGCCAUGGCCUGUGGUCGGGAUCGGAGGUCAGGGAAGAGCCGCAAGCCGCGUGGUUGUGGAUCAGCUCCCACAUCUCUCGGAGGCCACACGCUGAGGAUGGGGUUUGGCAGACGUGGCGACAUCCCGGCGGGCCAAUGGGAUGGCUUGCUUGCACUGGCAACACUAAGAGAGUAAGAGACCAUCUCUUGGCUUGUGUUGCAUGACACUGAUAGGCCCCCGGGCCACAGGAAGGCUGCUCCGCCUGCAGGAUGGAUGAGGCAUCCAAAUUUUGUAUCCGCAUGCAGGUUUUCGGGAGUUUCUAAUUUAUUUGUGAUUCACUGGUACUCCCUUAGUUUCAAAUUUUAAGUCAUCCUAAAUUUCUUGGAGAGUCAAGCUAUUUUAUAUUUGAUCAAAAUUAUAUAGAUGAUUACAAAUAUUUGUGGCAUCGAAUAGAUAUACUAUGAAAAUAUAUUUAAUGAAAAAUCUAAUAGUACUUAUUUGGUAUCAUACUUUAUUUAUAAAUUUGAUCGUUUAUACUUUCAAGAAAGUUGGAAUAGAAAAUAUUUACGGAUUCAAGAAUUUAGCAUUUUGCCCUAAUUUUUCACGCAAGCAUGCGCUAGCUAGUACGACUAUAGUAAUUAUUAUGCAACUACAAUAAAUAAAAGCGAAUAGUUUAUGAAAGUGGUCAAUGUAUCUUGAUCAUUUAAAUUUCACUGCGCGAUCCUUCACCAUAUUGAAAUCAUCAAUAAUCGAAUUUGUCGUGACCUUCAUAGCAAUCUCUUUCUCAAUAUGAGACAAGAAAUUAGAAAUCGGAAAUAGUUUAGGAGACAUGGAUUUGCCUACAUUUGGUUUGAGUCGGAGGAGGAACAUCAAGAGCAGAAUGCGCGGUUGAUGUUGCCCUCCAUCGCGGCCGCGACCACUUGCCAUCGUUGGCGUGAUGCCGCAGUCGCAGAGCUAGAGUCCGUGGCGCUGAGCGUGGAUGUCGAGUCCACUGCAACUGCGAGAUUGAAAACGAAACAUAGCGAGGACGAGAUCUUGUCAUCUUAGCGAGCGGCUGCAGGUGGCUGUAUGCGUUGGGCAGUUGGAUUUAGCUCCUAUGAUCUACUGACCAUUGGCUAACAAAGGGUAGCAAACAUUUUUUUUUUGGUUGGGUGUGACCAUGGUCCCUGCCCAGUUCCGGGCCACAGGAAGGCUCCUCCGCCUGCAGGAUGGAUGAGACAUCCAAAUUUUGUAUCCUAGCUAAAGUGCACCACAAAUAUUAAUAUUAAUAUUCUCGUAUAUAUGCCUAUUACAAACUUGUUUCUUGUUAACGCCAAACAUGAAUUGAAGGCAGUUUACAAUUAAUUUGCAAAAAGAUAAAAGAGGACUGGGCAGAGCAUCAUCAGUUGUAGACGCAGCUGCCGUCGUCGCUUCUGGCUGUUGGGUCGAAGUUGCCGGCCUUUGGGUCGGUGCACCCCUCGGGCACGGGCACGCCCACCUGCUGCGCCGCCUUGCCGUAGUACAAGUUGCCGGCGGUGAUGGCUUCGUCGUGGUUGGCGUCGCCGAGCGCCGCCUCGCUGAGGUACUUGUCGGCCAGCUGGACGCGCUUGACGUUCUCCUGCUCCGCCACCAGCAUGUGGCCGUACUCGAGCAGCUUCUCCAGCGUCAUCUUGGGCUGCUGGAACGUCGGCGGGCCCUCCCUGGAGUUGACGAGCUUCCGGCCGAUGUUCUCGAUGCCGGUCUCGGCGACCCACCGGCGCACCUCGUCGUCGUACACCCGGGCUCGCAGCGCGCCGAAGAAGUCGAUGGACUGCCCCGGGAAGGUGUCGACGAGCUUCACGACGGCCUCGUCGGGGACGCCGUCGGUGCGGAAGAUGCCCUUGCAGACUCCUAUCCUAUCCUCGCGGGUGGGCGCCCAGUAGAACUUGUCCAUGCGGCCGUCGCGGAUGAGCGGCGCGUACAGCGUGGAGAAGUCGUUGCCGGUGACGACGAUGGGGACACGGGGGUUCUCCUCCUUGUUGUACAUGCCGGGGAGCUGCACGUUGGUGGGGUUGUCGGCGAUGUUCAUCAGGGUGGCGUUCACCAUCUGGUUG
rnacentral:lncRNA from 1 species